rnacentral:rRNA from 1 species
AUUGAACGCUGGCGGCAUGCCUUACACAUGCAAGUCGAACGGUAACAGGUUAAGCUGACGAGUGGCGAACGGGUGAGUAAUAUAUCGGAACGUGCCCAGUCGUGGGGGAUAACUGCUCGAAAGAGCAGCUAAUACCGCAUACGACCUGAGGGUGAAAGCGGGGGAUCGCAAGACCACGCGCGAUUGGAGCAGCCGAUAUCAGGUUAGGUAGUUGGUGGGGUAAAGGCCCACCAAGCCAACGAUCUGUAGCUGGUCUGAGAGGACGACCAGCCACGCUGGGACUGAGACACGGCCCAGACUCCUACGGGAGGCAGCAGUGGGGCAUUUUGGACAAUGGGCGCAAGCCUGAUCCAGCCAUGCCGCGUGCGGGAAGAAGGCCUUCGGGUUGUAAACCGCUUUUGUCAGGGAAGAAAAGGUUCUGGUUAAUACCUGGGACUCAUGACGGUACCUGAAGAAUAAGCACCGGCUAACUACGUGCCAGCCGCCGCCGUAA